CCCAUCAAGAAGUUUCCCGCCAGCGGUUCAUGGCUGAUCUCAUGUUACUGAUCCCGCGUACGUCUUUACUUUGAUAUUUCUUACACGUAGCUAGCUAUCAUAAUUUAGUCCCGCUCCAUGGAGCUCCUUUUGUCAAGCCUGUCUUUUGGACAACUGAUGGCUGAUCUCCGGGACGACUGGCUUAUCUUUCUACUCGUCCUUUUUUUACUGAUCUUUAGGUCAAUCGGCAUCUUUUGAAUCCAUUCUCCAAGCUGUUAUCUGCAUUAUCCUUUCCAGGAAUCGUCUUAUUUACAUUCGGGGUUGGUAGCUUAUUCUCCAUUGAGUGGAGAAAACUGCGAGCAAACCUGUUCUUAUAAGCUACUUUCUUAUUCUUUGGAGGAGCUCUGGCUAUUCGUGUUCCAGCGCGGCAUAAGCAGAGUCUAAGAAACCAGCAAGACAGUUCUUCUCAAGUAUCAGUCAUACUCUCUCCCGUUUAAAAAAUAUCCCCGGUUCAACGAUUUAGAUAUUGUAUUGUCCUUUAAUCAUUUGCUAACAAUAAUUUUAGAUAUCUAUUUGCGAUAUGUUGCCAGAUAUUCCUGCCGCUCUAGAAAUCCGCUACCCCUAAUAUCCUACCCUAUUACCCUAAGUGACAGUGGACUUUCUACAACAAAUCGUCAACGCGGUUUUCACGUCGCCAUAACUUGGACAUCGUCUUACAGGCCUGGAAAAUCGAUCUCUAUCCCCUCCAUCCAGAAAUACUCUUAUUCCAAGCUAUAGUUCAUCUUUCUUUCCUUCCUUCUAUCACAAUCGUCAAAGUUGACAGAUACCACAAUCCACUUCCAUUUUCGUUAUUUUCUCCAUAGUCACCACAACCUUGGGACCUGCCAUCUCCUUUAUAACCAUCACAUGUUUAAACCGUUUGAUAUGGCGACCCUAGCGACUUUCACCAUACGUGGGUGGUCUACGGAGGGGGCUACCUAAAAAUUAUAUGAGAAUUAGGUUUCCAUUUUAGGCAUCAGCAAUCAAACCUCACGAAGAGCUCAGGGAAUUUGCGAGAUUCUCUGAACCUACCGUAGAUAAAUUGCUUUUUGAUCUCGUCGGGGUGCUGAGCACAACAGCUACUAGGAGGGGAAAGAGUACAAAGAGAUUCUUCAUUUUUUGCAGAGCAGUGAGUGGGAUCAUAGAGAGGAAACGACCAGCUUUUGAAUGAACGGCGAAUGUUCCUUUGAUUCCAAGUCAAUGGGUCUGAUUCGACUUUCACUUGCUCUGUUGUGGUUCCCGGAAGUAUUUGCAAAGGUGGAACUGACUCUUUAUAUGCCUUUUUCAGUUGUUGUGCCUUAAUCCCUACUGCACUUGGACUUAAAGCUUUAAACUUCCCUUAUUUGCUCUUUGCUUUGCAAGUGAGAGCGACGUAGUGUACGGGUGCAUUCGCAAAUGAGACUACUACAUAUUCAUGUUUAGUACGCUGCAAUGCUUUACAAUCUGGGCCAGAGGCGGUAACACGACAGACUUUCCUG
rnacentral:sRNA from 1 species